CCUCGCGAAGAUGGUGGCGCGCGCGGCAUGUGGUGCCUGUGGUCUGGCCAAGUCUCAGCGCAGCGCACCGGCCGACGUCUCGCUGUCCGGGAGCCCACACCCACCGGGUCCCUGACCCUGCGCCCCCCCGCGCCCCCCGCGCCCGGUUCCCGGCAUGCCUCGCGCCCGUUACGGGCAACACGCUCCGGAAGGGUGGUCCGCGCCGUGGAGGAGGUGCCCGGAGCAGUACCCAAGCUGACUCGGGUUGCAGUGAUGAUGAGGCAGCCAGUGAGGCCCGCAGCACCGCCAGUGAAUGCCCCAGGCUUCUCAGCACCACUGCAGAGGGCAGCCUUGGGGGGGAUGUCGUGGAUGAGCAGGGCCAGUAGGAAGACCUUGAGGAAAAGCUGAAGGAGUAUGUGGACUGCCUCACAGACGAGAGUCCCAAGACCCGGCAGGGUGCUCUCAAGAGCCUGCGCCUGGCCCUGGCGUCGCGCCUACUCCCCGACUUCUUGCUGGAGCGCCGCCUCACACUAGCUGAUGCCCUGGAAAAGUGCCUCAAGAAAGGGAAGGGAGAGGAACAAGCCCUGGCUGCUGCUGUGCGAGGGCUGCUGUGCGUGCAGCUGGGCCCUGAACCCAAGGGUGAGGAGCUGUUCCACAGCCUGCAGCCUCUGCUGGUCUCUGUGCUCAGUGACAGCACAGCUAGCCCUGCUGCCCGGCUCCACUGUGCUUCUGCUCUUGGCCUGGGCUGCUACGUGGCUGCUGCCGACAUCCAGGACCUAGUCUCUUGCCUUGCCUGCUUAGAAAGUGUUUUCAGCCGGUUCUAUGGCUUGGGUAGCUCCACGACUCCUGUGGUUCCUGCCAGCCUGCACGGCCUGCUCUGUGCUGCCCUGCAGUCCUGGGCAUUGCUGCUCACCAUCUUCCCCAGCACCCAAAUCAGCCACAUCCUUGACAGGCAGCUGCCCCGGUUGCCCCAGCUCUUGUCCAGUGAAAGUGUGAACCUGCGGAUCGCUGCCGGUGAAACCAUUGCACUGCUCUUUGAGCUUGCCCGGGACCUUGAGGAGGUGUUUGUUUACGAGGACAUGGAGGCCCUCUGCAGUAUCCUGCGCACUCUGGCCACUGACAGUAACAAGUACCGUGCCAAGGCCGAUCGCCAGCGCCAGGGCUCUACUUUCCGCGCCGUGCUGCACUCGGUGGAGGGCGGUGAACGUGAAGAAGAGAGAGUGCGCUUCGGCUUUGAGGUGCUCUACAGAGACAGCUGGGCUGGGCACCGGAUCUACACUGCCUUCAAGGAAGUGCUGGGUUCAGCUAUGCACCACCACCUCCAGAGCAAUGAGCUACUCCGUGACAUCUUUGGCCUGGGCCCUGUGCUGGUGCUGGAUGCCACUGCCCUGAAGGCCUGCAAGGUUCCACGCUUCCAGAAGCACCUGUACAACACUGCCACCUUCAAAGCCCGGACCAAGGCUCGAAGCCGUGUGCGGAGCAAGCGGGCAGACAUCCUGUGA